GUGAAUCAUCGAAUCUUUGAACGCAUAUUGCGCCCCUUGGUAUUCCGAGGGGCAUGCCUGUUCGAGCGUCAUUACAACCCUCAAGCAUUGCUUGGUAUUGGGCUCCGCUGCUCACCCAGCGGGCCUUAAAAUCAGUGGCGGUGCCGUCGGGCCCUGAGCGUAGUAAAUAUCCUCGCUACAGGGUCCCGGUGGACGCUGGCCAUCAACCCCCACUUUCUAAGUUUGACCUCGGAUCAGGUAGGGAUACCCGCUGAACUUAAGCAUAUCAAUAAGCGGAGGA
rnacentral:misc_RNA from 1 species